GGACCCGCACAAGUAGUGGAGCAUGUGGUUUAAUUCGAAGAUACGCGCAGAACCUUACCAACACUUGACAUGUUCGUCGCGACUUUAAGAGAUUAAAGUUUUCGGUUCGGCCGGACGAAACACAGGUGCUGCAUGGCUGUCGUCAGCUCGUGUCGUGAGAUGUUGGGUUAAGUCCCGCAACGAGCGCAACCCUCACUUUUAGUUGCCAUCAUUAAGUUGGGCACUCUGAAAGAACUGCCAGUGAUAAGCUGGAGGAAGGUGGGGAUGACGUCAAGUCCUCAUGGCCCUUACGUGUUGGGCUACACACGUGCUACAAUGGUAUCUACAACAGGAAGCAAGACGGCGACGUUAAGCAAAUCCUUAAAAGAUACCUCAGUUCGGAUUGCACUCUGCAACUCGAGUGCAUGAAGCUGGAAUUACUAGUAAUCG
rnacentral:rRNA from 1 species